GAUGAACGCUGGCGGCGUGCCUAAUACAUGCAAGUCGAGCGAACAGAUGAUGAGCUUGCUCCUCUGACGUUAGCGGCGGACGGGUGAGUAACACGUGCAUACCCUACCUAUAAGACUGGGCUAACUUCGUGAAACCGGAGCUAAUACCGGAUAAUAUAUUGAACCGCAUGGUUCAAUAGUGAAAGACGGUUUUGCUGUCACUUAUAGAUGGAUCCGCGCCGCAUUAGCUAUUUGGUAAGGUAACGGCUUACCAAGGCAACGAUGCGUAGCCGACCUGCGAGGGUGAUCGGCGACACUGGAAGUGAGACACGGUCCAGACUCCUACGGGAGGCAGCAGUAGGGAAUCGUCGGCGAUGGGCGGAAGCCUGACGGAGCAACGCCGCGUGGGUGAUGAAGGUCUUCGGAUCGUAAAACUCUGUUAUUAGUGAAGAACAAAUGUGUAAGUAACUAUGCACGUCUUGACGGUACCUAAACAGGAAGCAACGGCUAACUACGUG
rnacentral:rRNA from 1 species